GGAAUCCGAAUACUCACAAGAAGGACAAAACCAGUAUGAAAAUUAACACAAAGAAAUUGUGCAAGAAAAGUUUGAAGUAUCUAUGGGAAUGAUCUGACAACAACGAACUUGUUGAUCCUUCCUUCUUAAAGUGACAUGACCAGAUAUUUGGCUACCCAGUUUGAGUAUCUUUCUGCUAAAUGAAAUAAAAUAUUUUGGAGGAACACGGAGAAAAGGGCACUUCAACAAGUUCAAGGUCAAGCAGCUUUUUACCAUAUCCAUAGUAUCUUGCUGCUAAAUGAAAGAAUUAUUGUGGAGGAACAGAGAAAAGGGCACCUCAACAUGUUCAAGGUCAAGCAGAAAUUAGAAGCUACAUGUGCUUCUCCAGAGCUGAAAAUUUCUUGGGAUGAAGAGAAGAAAAAGCAAGAAGGAGCAGUUUUAAAUAUUGAUUACGUCUUCACAGUACAAAAAAUGAUUCGAAAGAUGAUACUAUCUAUGAAAUUAGAAAACUGAAGUGGUGUUCUGAUGAAUGUGAAAAAGUCCUUAAAGAACAGGACACCAAAAGUGCCACUCUCAAAUCAAAACACUCUAAAAGGCAGAGCAUAAC